AAUUUUGGACAAUGGGGGAAACCCUGAUCCAGUCAUCCCUCUUGUAUGAUGAACGCCUUCGCGUUGUAAAGUACUUUUGUUAGAGAAGAAUGGGUAUCUCUUAUAACGCGAUACGGUCGACUGUAUCUGCAGUAUAAGUACCGACAAACCUCGUGCAACCAGCCGCGGUAAUACGUAGAGUGCAAGCGUUAAUCGGAAUUACCGGGCGUAAGGCGUGUGUAGGCGGUUCGGAAAGAAACAUGUGAAAUCCCAGGGCUCAACCUUGGAACUGCAUUUUUAACUGCCAAGCUAGAGUAUGUCAGAGGGGAGUAGAAUUCCACGUGUAGCAGUGAAAUGCGUAGAUAUGUGGAGGAAUACCGCUGGCGAAGGCAGCCCCCUGGGAUAAUACUGACGCUCAGACACGAAAGCGUGGGGAGCAAACA
rnacentral:rRNA from 1 species